AUUGAACGCUGGCGGCAGGCCUAACACAUGCAAGUCGAGCGGAUGAAGAGAGCUUGCUCUCUGAUUCAGCGGCGGGCGGGUGAGUAAUGCCUAGGAAUCUGCCUGGUAGUGGGGGACAACGUUUCGAAAGGAACGCUAAUACCGCCUACGUCCUACGGUCGAAAGUGGGGGAUCUUCGGACCUCACGCUCUCAGAUGAGCCUAGGUACGAUUAGCUAGUUGGUGAGGUAAAGGCUCACCAAGGCGACGAUCGUUAACUGGUCUGAGAGGAUGAUCAGUCACACUGGAACUGAGACACGGUCCAGACUCCUACGGGAGGCAGCAGUGGGGAAUAUUGGACAAUGGGCGAAAGCCUGAUCCAGCCAUGCCGCGUGUGUGAAGAAGGUCUUCGGAUUGUAAAGCACUUUAAGUUGGGAGGAAGGGCAGUAAGUUAAUACCUUGCUGUUUUGACGUUACCGACAGAAUAAGCACCGGCUAACUUCGUGCCAGCAGCCGCAGUAA
rnacentral:rRNA from 1 species